CGAUAGCGUAUAUUAAAAUUGUUGCAGUUAAAAAGCUCGUAGUUGGAUUUCUGGGCUCUUGAGUCGGACUCGCUGUUGCGACGUUUGAUUCAAGAACUCAUCCUUCUGUUAACCGCUCUCGGACUUCAUUGUUCGGAGUUGGGGCUCAGAUACUUUACCUUGAGGAAAUUAGAGUGUUCCAGGCAGGCUUGCGCCGGAAUACAUUAGCAUGGAAUAAUAGAAUAGGACUUCAUCCUUUUUGUUGGUUUAGAGGCUGAAGUAAUGAUUAAUAGGGAUAGUUGGGGGCAUUAGUAUUUCAUUGUCAGAGGUGAAAUUCUUUGAUUUGUGAAAGACUAACUUAGGCGAAAGCAUUUGCCAAGAAUGUUUUCAUUA
rnacentral:rRNA from 1 species